GCAGCUGCGCGGCGUCCUUGGAGGCAGGUGCUGGCGGCAAGACGAGCUCUCGGAGGAUGCUGCGGCGCGGGGCGCGUCGCCCCCCUCAGUCCACCAGAGCCCGGAUACCUCAGAAAUUCGGCUCUGGGUCUGUGGGGAGCGAAAUGCAACCCAAACCCCGUUUUUCGAACCCCGCGCAAAUAAACACGCACAAGCACGCACACAGACGUCGCGCGGCGGCGCUCGCGCGCAGGUCCAGCCGCGGCUGGGUCGGGCGCGGCGGCCGGGCGCGAGGGAAGAGCCCAGGCCCGAGAGGGGUCGCCGCUUACGUCUCGCAGCCCGAGGGGAGGCCGCUCGGCCUCGGCCGCUCACAGGCGCGACGUAAAGGCCCGGCGUCACCGGCCCGGCUUAACGGUGCAACGGCUGGCCUGGGCCUGCAACUCUGGGGUCCCGGCCGGGCUGGAGCGGCCGCCGGAGAGACCUGGUAGGCGGGGCGCUUGGGGCAGGAAGGGAGCCGGGGAGGGAAAAGCGCGACUGUGAUUCGUACGGCUGGGCCCGGACCGUGAAGGGGACCGGGUUGCGGCUGCCCUCACACCGACCAGGUGGGACCGUCGGACUGCGGCCGCCCUUGGCUCAACUGGGUCGCCGACCUUGUUGAGGGGCGACCACUGCGGGGAGACCGAGAGCCUGCGGCUGGCGUUUGAGGCGGAUGGCAGUGCCCUGAGCGCGGCGGCUGGGUCUCGGUGACACUGACGACGGGAGGCGCGGUCGGAAGAGCGCGGGGCCGUCGCCUCUGGCUUAACAUAGCAGAUGCGCUGAGACUCCAACAGGUGGCUCCGUGGCGCAAUGGAUAGCGCAUUGGACUUCUAGAGGCUGAAGGCAUUCAAAGGUUCCGGGUUCGAGUCCCGGCGGAGUCGUAACGCUUUUUUCCCUCCCCCCUACAAUUUAUUUUCUGCCUCCAUCAUGUCUCUUAUUUUUUUUUUUUGCUAAACGGUUUAACUUCUCUCUCAUUCCCUGCUCUCGCAGUUCACUGCAUUCGGUUCUUGCGGUCCUUUCUUAAGCGGCUCGCAGGGUCCCGAGCCCCUCAGCUCCCCGGGCCUCGGUGGCCCAGGGCCCAGCUCAGCCGACUGGGCAGUCGAUGUAGGUCCUGAGAAGAGCGGCGGCGGCGGCGGCGGCGGCGGCGAAGGAAAAGCGACACUGAAGCGAAGGCUCGCGGUUUCGGCCUAAAGGAAAGUGCAGGGGAGGCCCGGGUCUCGGGUGACACCCCCACGCCUUGAGCGGGACUGUGGUUGCGAGGGAGGGACGAGAAAACACGCCUACGCCCUGCGUGCGCUGUGCUGACUACCUCUCCAGCAUGGAGGCUUCCAGAUGAGCAGACACCCGAAUCCCAGCGGGAGCCCGUCAAAAAUGGAGAUUUCUGCCGUCACUCUGGGACUCUUAAUUCGGUCCGUCUGGGGUGGGGCCCAGGAAUCUGCAUUUCUGAUAAGGUCACCCGCUCCCCUCCCCCAUUAUUCCAGUGCAAAGAGGUCCUAGGCCCAGUGCCCAUCAGCUCCUCAAGACAGGAAUUACUAUAUCUUUUUCUGACAACUGUUAACUUUGUACAAGGUUAGCAAAUAAAUCCAGGAAUGAAUGGAAUCUUAAAACUCGUAAAACAACAAUGAAAGGUAAUUCACACAAAAGAUACAAAAUCCAAAAUUGUCAAAAAAGAUACAGGGAAAAGUAAACAUCCAUGUUAUUCCUAUAGUCCAGCCUUGCAAUUCUCUCCACAAGCCAUUAGUGGUAAUGGUUUCUUGGAAAUAUUUUCAGAUUUAUUUUAUGCCCAUAUCAGCAUUUUUAACAUCUUUUGUCAUAAAUAUGUCGUAAAUAACAAUGUUAUUGAUACAUAUCCUUUUAAAAACACAAUGGUAGUAUGCUAUACUGGCUUGUUUUACUUAUGAAUAUAUGUAGAGCUGCCUCGUUCCAUUGUACGUAUGUAUGGUAAUGAUUUAACAGUCCCUAAUAGCUGGACAUUUAGAUUGCCAGUAUUUUCCUAUUACAAACAAUGCAUCAGUGAACAUCCUUGUUCUUUUAUUAUUGUACACAAGUACAGGUACAUCUAUCUGUAGGAUAGAUUCCUAGAAAGUUGAAUUGCUGGUUCAAAGGUUUGUGCGUUCUUAAUCUGUACAUUUUUUAAUAUAUAUUGGCAAAUUGCCCCAUAGA
rnacentral:lncRNA from 10 species